AGAGACACAAAUCAAAACAUAUCCAUAUUCAACGUUAAACAUCUUAGAAGUAUCUAAAACAAGCUUCAUGAUACAAAGCGGGCAGAAAGGUGACAGGCAAGAAAUAUAUUAGCACUUCAAAAAUCUGAUAAUCUCAAUUCUUGACCUGCUUUUGCCCAUAAAUAUGUGCUACAAGAAACUUUACAAGAGAUCCACUAAAAGGAUAUUUGCAAUUCUGCUAGUCAUUGUUGACAAGAAAUACUAGCAUAGUGAACUGCUUGAUUUGUUUCUAAUGCUAAUGGUUUACGGUCAAGGUAUAAGUGAACAGAGACCAAAGGAAACGCCACAAGAGGGUCAUCAAAUCUUAGAAACAUGAACUAUGCAUUGACUGUUUAUAUUUCUUGAUUGAGCAUUGACCACGAGCCACAUGCAUCAUUCCUUUUACGCAACUGCAAGUAUUUAAGACGGACAAAAUUUCCUGCUUGCCACUGUAAU
rnacentral:misc_RNA from 1 species